CGGCUGGAGAGGCGCGCAAGGCUAAAGAGGAAGCCAGGGCAGCAAACGGGAUGGAUCGCACUUGCUGCCCUGGCUUCCUCUUUAGCCUUGCGCAGCCUCCUCCCCCCCAGAGAGGUGUGCAAGGCUAAAGAGGAAGCCAGGGCAGCGAACGGGAUGGAUCGCCCUGCUGCCCUGGCUUCCUCUUUAGCCUUGCGCAGCCUCCCCCCGGCUG